rnacentral:lncRNA from 1 species
GAUGAUAAAACCUUGUGGAUGCCGGAAGCACGAAGGGCGCAGAAGGAGGCCGAAGCAGCGGAUCCCACAAACAGAGAUGCAACUGCGAACGCUUUCAACGGCAUCAACCUACCGUCUCCGGCGUAGCCUCUCCGCCACGAAAACACUCCCCAACCCAUCAGGACGGUGCUUCCAACACCCCACCAUACCCACCGGUUGUUUUCACUUCUUUCGCCGUCCUCCUCCUCCAUCGGAUCUCCUCUUCUUCACCCACU